ACAACAACAACAACAAGACAUUCAUUGUGUUUACAUAUUAUAAUAGCCAAAAUUAACUUUCUUUAAAAAUUAGAAAUGAGCCAUAAGAAAAUUCAUUAAUCAAUACAUUUAUCAUUUUGAAAAUAAAUGAAUGAUUUUAUCUGGUUCGUCUGAUUUUUUCAUCAUUUUUUCCAGAAGUUUUAAAUACUCGAAGAAAAAAAUUAAUAUUCAUAAAGUAGUAGUGGUGAACAGAAAAAAAAACAAACUCAUCAUUUGUUGCAUUUUGUUUUUUGUCUUGUUUUGUAAAAUAUAAAGAAUUUUUUUUUGUUUGUUUGCUAAAUUUGUUAAAAGAAUGCCAAUACUCUACGAUACUCGACGAU
rnacentral:misc_RNA from 1 species